UAUUUGUUUACAAACAUACAUAGCAAGUGACAAGAUGUAUAGAAAAUAAAUAUGACACCCUCUGAAUUUUUAAAACUAGUUCUUCUUUACUAAGUUAGCCAAUGAAAUAAGCACGGUGGAAGUAGCCUAAGAUGAAGAAAUAUCAAAUAAUAAUAUCAGAGGACUCAAAAAUAAGGUUCUAUAAAUAAAAUACAGUUGGCCAUGCAGUAGCCUUGUUUUGAAAAAUUUCUGUCCUUAAAUAUCCAUCAUUAAUGUAAAUUAGCAAUGCUUUACUGAACCAUGAAGAAUGGAUGCUCACUUCUUCAAAGGCUUCUCUGCCACUGAGCCUGGAUGGGGAAACUCGAAAUCAGAAACUCAAAGGACAAACUGCACCACUGACGUUUUGGAAAGCGAAGUCAUGCAAAGACCAGACCCAUCGGAAGCUGACGAUACACUGCUAUUCAUAUACCCUUUCAUCCAAGACCCCGUGAUCGUUCUCCAGACGUCACCUCUAAUGGGUAGGGCUUAAAAGACACUUGACUCCUGGGAUCACUCACCAUUCAUAUUCUUAAAGAUGUUCAGGAUGGGGAGGAUUUGCCGGUAAUAGGGCACCAAAGCUUCACCCACCAUCUCAGCUGACACAACCAGAUGCUGGAGGACUUUAAGGGUGACGCAGAUGACCUGUCGGUUUCGAAGGUUCAAGGCAUCUUCAAGAAAGCCGCUCAUCGUCCUUCACAGAAGAGGCUGGUGAUGGACAAGAUCCGUUAGCGUCGUUGGGGUAAAAGGGCCCCAUGAAGGCCGACAGACAAAUUUCUAUGCAACAGUCCUUUCCAGUUAACAACCUAUGUGAUCCUUAAAACCAUUACCACGAAACAAACAUUUAUUUGGGAAGGGAGAACUGGGUGUGGUGUGUGUGAGAAGAAACUACAGGCUGUAACAAACACCGACAAGGUUCUUGGUAGAAGUGAACAUGAAGCGACUAUAUUUAGACUCUCAAGAACGCAGGAAAGAAAAGCAACAGUUUUAAAGCUCAGAACUUCAGAAGGAAUCAACAGUAAAUAAGAGACCCAAAGAAUGCAAAAUGGUUUUAAAGAACAAUUCUAAAUGCACAGUAACAAGCUACACUAGAGAGAUUGGAUGGAAACAGUAAGUUACCUGGUUGUCCCCCCACUUGCUGGGUCUGGAAGGUAUCAUUCGUUCCAGUGGGGAAAGCAGAGGACUAGGGACCAGAAUGCUGGUAAUUGGAUGUAUGAACUUGCCAACUCCCCUAUGUGGUCUCAGUUUCCCCAAUCAUGGGAAUGUAUUAUUUAUUUUCUAAAAUGACUAAAAGUUCCAAGACUUAAAUAGAAGGGCUAUAUAAGGCAUGUAUCAUAGAACGUCAGAGGUGGUGACAAACUGAUGCCCCCAGACUAUUCCAAAAGAAAGUCAAAGGCUCUUAUCUGUAAGAUGUUCCAUCUUCUAAAGA